GGCAACGUGUCCGAGUGGUUAAGGAGUUCGCCUCGAACUAUAACUUUGAGGUAUCAUGUAUACCGCAAGCGAAUGGGCUCUGCCCGCAUAGGUUCAAAUCCUGUCGUUGUCG